rnacentral:rRNA from 1 species
UGCAUGUCUAAGUAUAAGCGAUUAUACGGCGAAACUGCGAAUGGCUCAUUAUAUAAGUUAUCGUUUAUUUGAUAGCACCUUACUACUUGGAUAACCGUGGUAAUUCUAGAGCUAAUACAUGCUGCGAUCCCCGACUUCGGAAGGGGUGUAUUUAUUAGAUUAAAAACCAAUGCCCCCCGGGCUCUCUGGUGAUUCAUGAUAACUUCGCGAAUCGCACGGCCUUGCGCCGGCGAUGGUUCAUUCAAAUUUCUUCCCUAUCAACUUUCGAUGUUUGGGUAGUGGCCAAACAUGGUUGCAACGGGUAACGGAGGGUUAGGGCUCGACCCCGGAGAAGGAGCCUGAGAAACGGCUACUACAUCCAAGGAAGGCAGCAGGCGCGCAAAUUACCCAAUCCCGACACGGGGAGGUAGUGACAAUAAAUACUGAUACAGGGCUCUUUCGGGUCUUGUAAUUGGAAUGAGUACAAUUUAAAUCCCUUAACGAGGAACAAUUGGAGGGCAAGUCUGGUGCCAGCAGCCGCGGUAAUUCCAGCUCCAAUAGCGUAUAUUAAAGUUGUUGUGGUUAAAAAGCUCGUAGUUGAACCUUGGGCCUGGCUGGCCGGUCCGCCUCACCGCGUGCACUGGUCCGGCCGGGCCUUUCCCUCUGUGGAACCCCAUGCCCUUCGCUGGGCGUGGCGGGGAGACAGGACUUUUACUUUGAAAAAAUUAGAGUGCUCCAGGCAGGCCUAUGCUCGAAUACAUUAGCAUGGAAUAAUGAAAUAGGACGCGCGGUUCUAUUUUGUUGGUUUCUAGGACCGCCGUAAUGAUUAAUAGGGACAGUCGGGGGCAUCAGUAUUCAAUUGUCAGAGGUGAAAUUCUUGGAUUUAUUGAAGACUAACUACUGCGAAAGCAUUUGCCAAGGAUGUUUUCAUUAAUCASGAACGAAAGUUAGGGGAUCGAAGACGAUCAGAUACCGUCGUAGUCUUAACCAUAAACUAUGCCGACUAGGGAUCGGACGAUGUUGAUUUUUGACUCGUUCGGCACCUUACGAGA